CUUCUGGAUACCUCCUGAAGGACUUGUCUGAGACUGUUUUACAGCAGCUAUUUUUUUUUAAAUAAGUAGAAGGAGUACAUGCUAAAAACCACAAUUAAAAUAGAAUAUAGUAAAUAAAGCAGUAGCAUAAUCGUUUAUUAUCAUUAUCAAACACUAUGUUCUGUACAUAACUGUGUGUGCUGGACUUUGAAAUGACUGGAAGCACGGCAGGUUUGUUUUCGCCAGCAUCACCAUAGGCAGGUCUUUGGCAGCGGCUGGGGCCAAAGCCCGGGCAAGACCAACGCCUUCGGCACCCGGACUCAGGCUCCGUCCUCUCUGCCAGCGUGCGGCUACAAUGACUCGACAUGGCAGGUGGGCAAGCACAGCACGCCCCAACAGACAUGCUUUAUUUAAUAUGUACUAAAAAUACAGCAGGCCUGUGAAACCCACAGGUGCAAUUGCUUAAAA
ensembl:lncRNA novel transcript